ensembl:lncRNA
GACCUUAUUUCAAAACAGAGGGAAAUACUUGGUGUACAGGGAUCCUAGCUCUCUUCCGACAAGACUUCAACAAUGAAUUUACAGGCCCUCUGUCCAACCAGAGCCACUCCCUUCUGUCCAUGCCCAUGAAACCCAGCAAGAAGCUCCCAGGGAAUGUUUCGAGUAUUCCAAGUGUUCCUCCAUUCUCCCAAAGCCUUCCUUUCUGGGAUCCGCACAGAGGUACCGGGGAUGGAACUCGGGUCCCUGUGCUUGCGCAACAGGCAGCAAAACCACUGAGCUAAAUCCCCAGCCCCAUGAAAUAAUUACAUUCAUCGCCUUGGGGAGCUGGUACAUGCACAUAGCACAUCUGAAUUCUUUUUACAGGCCCCUUCUUCCAC